rnacentral:rRNA from 1 species
GAGUUUGAUCCUGGCUCAGGAUGAACGCUAGCGACAGGCUUAACACAUGCAAGUCGAGGGGCAGCGGUGGUGAAGGCUUGCCUUUACCAGCCGGCGACCGGCGCACGGGUGAGUAACACGUAUGCAACCUGCCUGCCACAGCCGGAUAAUCGGGAGAAAUUCCGUCUAAUACGGCAUAAUGCAUCGACGGGACAUCCUGUUGGUGCCAAAGGUUGAUUCCGGUGGCGGAUGGGCAUGCGUCGCAUUAGUUAGUUGGCGGUGUAACGGACCACCAAGACGACGAUGCGUAGGGGUUCUGAGAGGAAGGUCCCCCACACUGGUACUGAGACACGGACCAGACUCCUACGGGAGGCAGCAGUGAGGAAUAUUGGUCAAUGGGCGGGAGCCUGAACCAGCCAAGUCGCGUGAGGGAUGACGGCCCUAUGGGUUGUAAACCUCUUUUGCCGGGGAGCAAAGUGCCGCACGUGUGCGGUUUGGAGAGUACCCGGAGAAAAAGCAUCGGCUAACUCCGUGCCAGCAGCCG